AACGAACGCUGGCGGCAUGCCUAACACAUGCAAGUCGAACGGGACCUUCCGGCUUAUUGGGGCACCUGUGCGUACCGCCUGGUAAUUAGCCCUUGGGUUCGGUACCAUAGUCGGUAACGAAAGUUAAUACAGGUGGAUCAAGUAACUGCAAAGAUUUAUCGCCCAGGGGUGAGCCCGCGUAGGAUUAGCCGGUUGGUGGGGUAAAGGCCUACCAAGGCGACGAUCCUUAGCUGGUCUGAGAGGAUGAUCAGCCACACUGGGACUGAGACACGGCCCAGACUCCUACGGGAGGCAGCAGUGGGGAAUAUUGGACAAUGAGCGAAAGCCUGAUCCAGCAAUGCCGCGUGAGUGAUGAAGGCCUUAGGGUUGUAAAGCUCUUUUACCCGGGAUGAUAAUGACAGUACCGGGAGAAUAAGCCCCGGCUAACUCCGUG
rnacentral:rRNA from 1 species